rnacentral:rRNA from 1 species
UACGUAGGGCGCAAGCGUUGUCCGGAAUUAUUGGGCGUAAAGAGCUCGUAGGCGGUUUGUCGCGUCUGCUGUGAAAACCUCAGGCUCAACCUGGGGCUUGCAGUGGGUACGGGCAGACUAGAGUGCGGUAGGGGUGACUGGAAUUCCUGGUGUAGCGGUGGAAUGCGCAGAUAUCAGGAGGAACACCGAUGGCGAAGGCAGGUCACUGGGCCGCAACUGACG